UACGAGCGGUAUGCAAGCGUUAUCCGGAAUUAUUGGGCGUAAAGCGUUUGUAGGCGGGCGAGUGUGUUUAAUGUUAAAUCUUAAAGCUCAACUUUGAAAUUGCGUUAAAAACUGCUUGUCUUGAGUAUGGUAGGGGUAAAGGGAAUUCCCAGUGUAGCGGUGAAAUGCGUAGAUAUUGGGAAGAACACUAAACAGCGAAGGCACUUUACUAGGCUAAUACUGACGCUGAGAAACGAAAGGUAAGGUAGCGAAACGGAUUAGAUACCCGUGUAGUCUUACCCGUAAACUAUGGACACUAAACGGUAAAUUUUUAAUUUACUGUUAAAGCUAACGCGUUAAGUGUCCCGCCUGGGGAGUAUGCUUGCAAAAGUGAAACUCAAAGGAAUUGACGGGGGCCCGCACAAGCGGUGGAGCAUGUGGUUUAAUUCGACGGUACACGAAGAACCUUACCAGGAUUUGACAUGCUAGAUAGUUGCUUGAAAGAGUAACGUGCCGUAAGGAAUCUAGACACAGGUGGUGCAUGGCUGUCGUCAGUUCGUGUUGUGAAAUGUUGGGUUAAGUCCCGCAACGAACGCAACCCUUGUCUUUAGUUAUUUUCUAAAGAGACUGCCUGUAAUAAACAGGAGGAAGGUAAGGAUGAGGUCAAGUCAUCAUGCCCCUUAUGUCCUGGGCUACACACGUGCUACAAUGGGAAAGACAAUGAGCUGCAAAUCUGUAAAUUUAAGCAAAUCUCUUAAACUUUCUCGUAAUUCGGAUUGUGGGCUGCAACUCGCCCACAUGAAGUUGGAAUCGCUAGUAAUCGCCAGUCAGCUAUAUGGCGGUGAAUCCGUUCCCGGGCCU
rnacentral:rRNA from 1 species